rnacentral:rRNA from 1 species
AGGCGACGAUGCGUAGCCGACCUGAGAGGGUGAUCGGCCACACUGGGACUGAGACACGGCCCAGACUCCUACGGGAGGCAGCAGUAGGGAAUCUUCCGCAAUGGACGAAAGUCUGACGGAGCAACGCCGCGUGAGCGAUGAAGGCCUUCGGGUCGUGAAGCUCUGUUGUUAGGGAAGAACAAGUGCUAGUUGAAUAAGCUGGCACCUUGACGGUACCUAACCAGAAAGCCACGGCUAACUACGUGCCAGCAGCCGCGGUAAUACGUAGGUGGCAAGCGUUAUCCGGAAUUAUUGGGCGUAAAGCGCGCGCAGGUGGUUUUUUAAGUCUGAUGUGAAAGCCCACGGCUCAACCGUGGAGGGUCAUUGGAAACUGGGAGACUUGAGUGCAGAAGAGGAAAGUGGAAUUCCAUGUGUAGCGGUGAAAUGCGUAGAGAUAUGGAGGAACACCAGUGGCGAAGGCGACUUUCUGGUCUGCAACUGACACUGAGGCGCGAAAGCGUGGGGAGCACACAGGAUUAGAUACCCUGGUAGUCCACGCCGUAAACGAUGAGUGCUAAGUGUUAGAGGGUUUCCGCCCUUUAGUGGCUGAAGUUAACGCAUUAAGCACUCCGCCUGGGGA